GUAUUUCUUGUUUCAACGAUGACGUCUAACAACGAUGACAUCAACUUCGUUAUUUCCACUACACAAUUAAGAAGCUUAACACAAGUAAUAAUUUACACAUCAAAUAUGUAUGUGUAAUGCGUAACGCCAAUUACUUCCAGAAAAAGACUGAAAAGGAAGGAGAAGAAGAAUUGUAUUCAUCUGACGUUCCCAGGGAUAAAAUAUUUUCACUGUAGCAUGCUUUCUUUGAAAAGCAUUUCCCCUGUAAUUCUGGAUAGUAGAGGAGACAUUUCGUGUGUUAAAAUUAAUGAAUGUCUCCUACAAAACUUGAGAUGUGUAAAAACUGAGAAACUUCAAAGAUAUCAUCGUAAUGACGUUAACAGAGAACGAAGAAUUAGAAGAUUGAAAAAUAAUGUGAAAAUUUCUAUUCGACAAUUAAAACUAAGGGUUUAAUCCAAUUAAAGAGAACGAGGUUACAAAAUAUCGAUAUUUGUCAUUGAUAAACAGAACAGGAAGCAAUCAGAGGAAUUCGACGUGAUGCAAGCAGGUCGUGUACGUGAUGUUGCAUUAGCACGUGAAAGUGCAACACACGAUCAAUUAUUCGCCACCGUAAAUCGAUCGCAAUGAAACUGUUACAGAAUUUAAUAGUCGCUUCGCGUUCACCAGUGAACGUUCGAUAUCACACCGUUACAUUCGCGUGAAAAUCGAGCUGCAAAAUAGUAAAUGAUCGUACGGAAGUAGGGGUUCAAAAUGUUGUUAUUGACAUUUUAAACUGUUUAAUAACAAACGUUGCCAACUGUUUACUGGGAACUAAUAACAAAUAAUUUUUAUAAAUUUUUCAAAUUUUAGAUAGAGAUUGUUUGAAACUGAACAUGAGUCAAAGAUUUUUACAUAUGAAUUUCAAACAAAAUUCUUGCAAAUUCUGGAAUAAAGGAAAUAUCUCGGUAAAUGUGAAUAUUCCAGCGGAAAUAAUGGACCAGGACGUGAUCAUUCAUGCGAAAUAGUCUUUCUAAAUGUGAAUCAGUAUACUUAAUAAUGUUGCUACAUAUGUGUUUCUUAUAGUUCUCUGUGCCAAGUAAAUUUUCAAGUGAUAUAAUCGAGGUACACACACACAUGCACACAUACACAAAUACACAAAAGAUUCGAACGUUCAUGAUAAUAUUAACUAUGUACAAUCAAAUUUGUAUCUGUCACACUUGUGAAAUUUGAUAAAGCAAUAAAACCAUUAAUUUCUCGAUGA